UGUAAGCGUAUACCAAAGUUGUUGCAGUUAAAACGCUCGUAGUCGGAAUUUGGCAGUUCCGGAUGUGUGCACGUCGUGUGCGCACUUCGCGGGGAUUGCUUUUGUGGUCUUGCGUAGGAUGAGGCACUUUUAUUAGUGAACGUCCUCACGCAACCACUUUUUACUGUGAGAAAAUCAGAGUGCUCAAAGCAGGCAUUUGCCGUGAAUGUAUUAGCAUGGAAUAAUAGAAUAGGACUUGGUUCUAUUUUGUUGGUUUGUUGGGACUGAGUAAUGAUUAAGAGGGACAGUUGGGGGCAUUUGUAUUUCGGUGCUAGAGGUGAAAUUCUUAGAUUACCGAAAGACAAACUGCUGCGAAAGCGUCUGCCAGGGAUGUUUUCAUUGA
rnacentral:rRNA from 1 species